AGGUGGCAAGCGUUGUCCGGAUUUACUGGGCGUAAAGGGAGCGUAGGUGGAUUCUUAAGUGAGAUGUGAAAUACCCGGGCUUAACUUGGGUGCUGCAUUUCAAACUGGGAAUCUAGAGUGCAGGAGAGGAAAGUGGAAUUCCUAGUGUAGCGGUGAAAUGCGUAGAGAUUAGGAAGAACACCAGUGGCGAAGGCGACUUUCUGGACUGUAACUGACACUGAGGCUCGAAAGCGUGGGGAGCAAAC
rnacentral:rRNA from 1 species